GCAUGGAAUAAUAUAAGAGCAUUGAGUUCUGUCUUUGUGUUCUAUCAUGGUAUCAAAGUUGCCAUCAGAAUCGUCAUCCACCUCUCGUUCUUAAGCUGUCGCGCUGAAUUCUGGUAGCCCCUUUUUUUUUCAUCCCUCAAUCAGGCACAUCACUUUAUCUCAAUCAAGUUAAAUUCUUCUAACUAUCUUUUCUGACAAACACAGAUUCUACCAUUUUUUGUGGCCAAAAUCUCUUUAGAUACGUUGAUGGCAAUAUCAUGCCCUUCAUUUCACAUAUCGAACCUGGAAAAUAAAGAAAUUAUUGUUCCCAAUCCAUUCUAUUCUCAAUGGAUUCAGCAGGACCAAGUUAUUCUCAGUCUCCUUAUCUCGUCACUCUCGAAAGAAGUAAGUUUGAUUGUUAUAGGUCUUUCUAUAGCCAAAGAAGUUUGGGAAGCGUUGAAGGCUGCUCUCUCCUCGACUUUAAAUACCCAAAUUUUGAAUCUUCAUGUGCAACUUCAAAACAUGAAGCAAGAUGAUCUAAGUAUCACUCAAUGUCUUUAUAAGGCCAAACUCAUAAGUGAUAUGCUAGCCGUUGUUGCUCGUCCUCUUACACUUUCUAAUCAGAAUAUCUACAUAUUUAGGAUUUCAAAGUAAUUUUAAAGAUUUCAUCACAACUCUAUCAGCUCGUCUAAAACCUAUCAUAUUCAGUGAACUGCAUAGCCAACUUUUAAACCAUGAGUUUAUUCAAGGCUAGAACCUCUCAUCUUUGUCUAUCACUAUCUCGUCAUCUUCACAUCUUAUAUCCAACAUUAUUGCUAACUUCAGUCAACGAUCUUCCCAACUAGUUCGCACCUCAAAUAUUAGCCGUGGUCGAGACUGUAACAAUAGUUGCGACAGAUGAGGAAAUCGUGGGGCAAAUCCAAUUCCUAUCGAGGCGGCUCAACUAUGAGGUAGCAAUGGUCUACCAAUAAUUCUCGCCAAAGGUGUCAGAUUCGCAAUGGUUUUAAUUAUCUUGCCCAAAUGUGUUUCCAGAGGUAUAAUCAUACCAUCAACCCUACAACAUAUUUGUCACAUCAAAAUCCAACAUCUUUUAAUCCACAAUGGUAUCCCGACACUAAGGCUACUUAUCACAUUAAUCCCAAUCUUGCUAUCCCACAACAAGUGGAAGAUUAUCGAGAAACGAAUCAAGUUCUCAUUGGUGAUGGUCAAGUGCUCCAAAUUCACCAUACUGGUCAGAGUGGGGAUGGUCUCAACUCGUUUUCCUUCAAGUCAACCUCUAGGAGCUACACCUCACAGUCCCCCAAUGUUUGUCUUUCAGCAAAAACGUUAUCUACCGGCAGACUCCUUCAUAUUAGGCAUUCGCACCGACGCGUCCUUAAUCAUCUCAUUAAGAAGCAUAAUAUUCCUUGUUCUAGUUUUAAUUUUAGUCAUAUUUAUAGUGCGUGCCAAAUUAGCAAGUCGCACAAGUUGAAUCAUCUACUUUCAAUCAAUAAAAGUACUUCUAUGUUACAGUUACUUUUUGUUGAUGGUCACAAAUAUUUCCACAUCUUUUUUGAUAAUUAAUCAUCUAUAACUGAAGAUUUUCUGUGAAACUAAAAUCUGAUGUGGUUCGUAUAUUUCAUAAUUUUAAAUUGCUUGUGGAAAAUAAAUCAAUACGAAUUAAAUUAGUUCAAUCCGACUGGGGUGGUGAAUUUCAUCCACUCUCCCCUAUAUUUGCAAGCUUUGAAGUCGUUCACCGUCUUUCCUGCCCCUACACUCACAAGAAAUGAGAGAAAGUUGAGCGAAAAUAUCACCACAUUGUUGAAACUUGAUUAAGACUCUUAAAUCAGUUCCACUCCAUCUCGUUAUUGGCACUUUUCCUUUAAAAUUAUUGUAUAUCUUAUCAAUAAAUUUCCUUCUCCCUUUCUUACAGACAAUUUUCCCUUUUAACUUGCACUUAACAAGUCUCUUCGCUAUUCCUUGAACUUAACAAGUCUCUUCACUAUUCCUUCCUCAAAGUAUUUGGGUGUCUCUGCUUCCCAUAAGUUAGUCCCUAUAACAAACACAAGUUUGACUUUCAAAGUAUUCCGUGGGUCUUUUUUGGGUACAAUGCUACACACCUUGGGUAUCGCUGUUUUGAUUUAUCCUUUGGUCAUAUAAAUAUAUAGCUUGUCACAUGUGCUUUGACGAAGCCAUUUUUUUGUCUUCCCAGCUGUCGAUAUAGGUCCUCAUCUCUCCAUAAUUUUAGCACCUUGAUCUUGGGCAUAUUUCUCGGUCUCUCUACCUCUGCUGUUUUCUUCCCCCUCCCCAGUUCCACAUCUCUAAACUACAGUUUCAUCUUCCGUGUCGAUGGAUGCCUAAUCCAGUUCCCCAUCACCAUCAAUAUCUAUUCUAAUAUCUCCACAAUCGAAUGUCACUACUCCCUCAAUAAAUACUAGUUCGACCAAAAAACUGUUGCCCAUUUCCCAUACCACACCUACUAACUAAUGUAACACCUCCUUAACACACUGAUCACAUGAUCCUUAUGCAUAUUCAACCCUUAUCCCACUUAUUCAUUGUUGAUCCCUCCUCUGUUAAUGAACCACCGUCCACUAAUCCAACCAAUUUCACCGAGGUUAAUAAGCACAAAGUUUGGUGUAAUGUUAUGGCCUCUGAGAUGGAUGUUCUUCUGCAUAAUAGAACAUGGUAUUUGGUCCCUUAUAAAUCUUCCACAAACAUUCUAGGAAGCAAGUGGGUUUUCCGAAUCAAGAGAAACUCAUCAGGUCACAUUAAAUUCUAUAAAACUAGUUUGGUUGUUAAAGGGUUUCACCUAGUUGAAGGUCAUGAUUACUUUGAAACAUUUACCCCUUUGGUUAAGACCUACUAUUCGUGUCGUUCUCAUAAUUGCAAUCUCUAAAGGGUGUCCCUUGAAACAACUUGAUGUUCAAAUGUCUUUCUUUACGGCCAACUUUAUAAGCUUAUAUUUAUCACUCAACCUAUUGAUUUCACUCACCCCUCCUACCCUAAUCAUGUUUGUUAAUUGUACAAGUCGUUGUAUGAUCUCAAGCAGGCACCAUGUGUUUGGUAUAUGAGACUUUAUAAAUUUCUUAUAGUCAUUGGUUUUUUGCCCUCUAA